GGUGAGAUGGCCGAGCGGUCUAAGGCGCCAGACUAAGGUGGUCAGCUUGACAUCUGGUCCGAAAGGGCGUGGGUUCGAAUCCCACUCUCAUCA
rfam:Phlebiopsis gigantea 11061_1 CR5-6 unplaced genomic scaffold PHLGIscaffold_174, whole genome shotgun sequence.